AGCUUUGCGCAGUGGCGAUAUCGUAACCAAUGAGGUUCUACCGAGGUGCGAUUAUUGCUAGUUGAAAACUUUUACCAAUACCCCGCCAAGACGAUGUGAAAUACCAUCGGCUACGGCAAUUUUUGAAAGUUUCUGCGGAAA
rnacentral:snRNA from 3 species